GUCUCCUUUGUGGUCAAACUGACUGAUGGGCGAGUCAUGCGCAGACACCAGGACCAUCUCCGCCUGCGCUAUGACAAAGACAAGACCAUGUUUUCAGACGGAACAGCUGUGGGUGGUAGUAUACAAGUUGAAAUCCCACAGGAAACAGCAUCUGAGGAACAGGGGCAUUCAGUGGUUCCAGCAGAGGGUGAUGGACAUUCUCUCACAAACACCCAACCCGCUCCUGUGCCCUCAGACCGAGCUCCACUGGGACACGCCUUACCUGUGUCUCGUAGCACACCAGGAGUACUGCGCAGAUCACAACGUAGUCACAAGCCUCCUACCUGCAGGUGAAGAUGACUCCUGGAACAGAGGCAGGAAGGGGAACACUGACCUGUAGCACCACCUGUACUCUGACUGACAACCCCACCUACAUCUGGUACAAGAACGGACACAAAGUAAAGGAGGACACUUCCAGCCUGUACUCAGAAUACUUUAGUGAUGUAGACUGCUACUCCUGUGCUGUAAAAGGCCAUGAGGAUCUCCACUCUCCUGCUGUGUGUGGAGUGUUCAGACCCUGUGAAGAGAAAGAGAGCUUCACUAACAGAGAAGGGUAUUCAGUUGUUUAAGCAGGGCCAGUACUCUCAGGAUGUGGACAUGUUCUCUGAGGCUAUCCACUGUUACCCCAAAGACC
rnacentral:lncRNA from 1 species